rnacentral:tRNA from 1 species
GCCCAGGUGGCGAAAUUGGUCAUACGCGGGGGACUUAAAAUCCCCUCUCUUCGGGGGUGCGGGUUCGAGUCCCGCCCUGGGCA